UACGGAGGAUGCAAGCGUUAUCCGGAAUGAUUGGGCGUAAAGCGUCCGCAGGUGGCUGUGUAAGUCUGCUGUUAAAGAGUCUAGCUCAACUAGAUAAAGGCAGUGGAAACUACACGGCUAGAGUGCGUUCGGGGCAGAGGGAAUUUCCGGUGGAGCGGUGAAAUGCAUUGAGAUCGGAAAGAACACCAACGGCGAAAGCACUCUGCUGGGCCGACACUGACACUGAGAGACGAAAGCUAGGGGAGCAAAUGGG
rnacentral:rRNA from 1 species